UACGGAGGGUGCGAGCGUUGUCCGGAAUCACUGGGCGUAAAGGGCGCGUAGGCGGCGCGGGCCGUCAACGGUGAAAGUUCGGGGCUCAACCCUGAAUCGGCCGUCGAUACUCCCGGGCUUGAGCACUGUAGAGGCAGAUGGAAUUCCGGGUGUAGCGGUGGAAUGCGUAGAGAUCCGGAAGAACACCGGUGGCGAAGGCGGUCUGCUGGGCAGUAGCUGACACUGAGGCGCGACAGCGUGGGGAGCAAACAGG
rnacentral:rRNA from 1 species